rnacentral:lncRNA from 1 species
GUUGACUCCGGUGAAGCGCGUUGCUCAUGGAAGAAAGUUGAGCGGUCAAAAGAAGCCGUUCCAGUCCAGGGGGUGAUGACCUUGAUCCGUCUAUAUAGUUUUCAACCACAAGUAUUCGGAGGUGGCCUGCAGUGGCGUGGUCCAAGCACUUACGCGAUGUAUUGCGUGCAGCAAGAUAAGGACGGUGGCAAGGAUUGACGUCUCCUGAGCAUGUUCUGCUGUCAGAAGGAAGACACGGCGGAAGUGGUGCUCCUACCCAAGCCUGCCUUCCCCACUCCGCAGCCUGCUCCACAUACUCGCGGCCUACGUGGGCGACGUCGGCUCAGCCGUUGGGCACCUCCUCGUCCUUCUGCCCCGCAUUCCUCGAGAUGGCUGUGGUGGUAUCAUUGUUAUUUUGUCGAUGCUUUCGCUCUCCAGUGCGGAUGAUUUCCGAGAGUGGCGUUGAUAUGAUUCUUUAAGAUACUCUUGUACGAAGAAAAUUGAUUGUAUAAUAUUUACAAUAAAGGAGCUAUUUAU